rnacentral:miRNA from 1 species
AGCAUUCGUGGUUGAGGAUAU